GACGAACGCUGGCGGCGUGCCUAAUACAUGCAAGUAGAACGCUGAAGCUUGGUGCUUGCACCGAGCGGAUGAGUUGCGAACGGGUGAGUAACGCGUAGGUAACCUGCCUGGUAGCGGGGGAUAACUAUUGGAAACGAUAGCUAAUACCGCAUAAGAGUAGAUGUUGCAUGACAUUUGCUUAAAAGGUGCAAUUGCAUCACUACCAGAUGGACCUGCGUUGUAUUAGCUAGUUGGUGGGGUAACGGCUCACCAAGGCGACGAUACAUAGCCGACCUGAGAGGGUGAUCGGCCACACUGGGACUGAGACACGGCCCAGACUCCUACGGGAGGCAGCAGUAGGGAAUCUUCGGCAAUGGACGGAAGUCUGACCGAGCAACGCCGCGUGAGUGAAGAAGGUUUUCGGAUCGUAAAGCUCUGUUGUAAGAGAAGAACGAGUGUGAGAGUGGAAAGUUCACACUGUGACGGUAUCUUACCAGAAAGGGACGGCUAACUACGUGCCAGCAGCCGCGGUAAUACGUAGGUCCCGAGCGUUGUCCGGAUUUAUUGGGCGUAAAGCGAGCGCAGGCGGUUAGAUAAGUCUGAAGUUAAAGGCUGUGGCUUAACCAUAGUACGCUUUGGAAACUGUUUAACCUGAGUGCAAGAGGGGAGAGUGGAAUUCCAUGUGUAGCGGUGAAAUGCGUAGAUAUAUGGAGGAACACCGGUGGCGAAAGCGGCUUUCUGGCUUGUAACUGACGCUGAGGCUCGAAAGCGUGGGGAGCAAACAGG
rnacentral:rRNA from 1 species